GAGGGGGAAUAGGUCUGAGAUCAGGAGUGACAUUGAGGGGGAAUAGGUCUGAGAUCUGGAGUGACAUUGAGGGGGAAUAGGUCUGAUAUCUGGAGUGACAUUGAGGGGGAAUAGGUCUGAGAUCAGGAGUGACAUUGAGGGGGAAUAGGUCUGAGAUCUGGAGUGACAUUGAGGGGGAAUAGGUCUGAUAUCAGGAGUGACAUUGAGGGGGAAUAGGUCUGAGAUCUGGAGUGACAUUGAGGGGGAAUAGGUCUGAGAUCUGGAGUGACAUUGAGGGGGAAUAGGUCUGAGAUCUGGAGUGACAUUGAGGGGGAAUAGGUCUGAGAUCUGGAGUGACAUUGAGGGGGAAUAGGUCUGAUAUCUGGAGUGACAUUGAGGGGGGGGGGGGUGAUAGGUCUGAUAUCAGGGGCUAAUAUGAAGGCACCUGUAGGUUAUACAAGACAUGGAGGCAUAGAGUUGGAUGCAUGGGGACAUAUCAAUGUCUCUGCCCAUGUUAAAACAGGUUUUGUGGCAAGUCUCUGUCCACCUCGGGUUUAUAUUGAGGUUGCAGUUGUAUUGGCCAUCACCAGCAUUUUUAUCAGAGUCACCUGACUUGUAAAUGAACAAAUCAAUGAAAGUGUGGCUUUGUUUUUCAAAUCUGAACAACCCCCCCCCCCAAUGUGAGGAGUCGCUGUUAUUUUAUUUUGUAUUUGUCUUUCGUUGUGCUGCGUUAUUUCUCAUGAAAACAUCUAUUCUGAAGUGGCCAUUUGCCUUGUAAAGUAGUGUUUUACUGUGUGAUUGAUACAGUCAUUUCUAAGUGGAAUUUACAUCUUAACCAUAUUGUAAAGUACCUAAAAAAAUAUAUAUAUAUACAAAAAGUGUUGCCAAAUAAUGCCAAUGAAAAGACAACUAUAAUAAUUAAUUAUUAUUAUUAACCAUGAAUUAUCAAGUGCAAGUAAAGACAAAAAAUAACCUGUCUAGACGAGAGUUGAUGACGUCUCAUUGCCCUCAUGGUUUUUUGUUCUUCUCUUGUCGUGCUCGUUAUCCUGAGAGCCUCCACACUGCUGUGUUAACAUGUCUGGCUGCGACGUAACAAUGAAGAGAACAAAUAGACUAUAUUUUUCUACCAUCUGAGUGAAGCACUCCAUACACCGUGAGGGUGGCGGAAUGCGCUGGGAACCAAUGGGAGAUCGCUGGCAAUGGGUCUCAGGCUAUGACGCUAUCGCCUGUAACCUAGGUAACAAAGGUUAAGACAAUUUAAUUAUUUUCAAUGCGAAACGUUACAAAAUAAAUAUUGUCAUUUGACCAGCACCGUUGCUGAUUCUACAGGAUUAGCGGUCGUGAAAAUCAAGUAAUAAAAUGACUAGAUAAUUUUAUUUUAUUUUUUAUGAAUAUAAUAACUGUAAAACAGUUAUCCUAUGUGUUGGCUGUGUAGUUAGCGGGAAAUUCACUACGAUUGUGGGUUUUUUUCUCACUUUGGUUGGAAAACUUUCUAUGAGCUACUGCGAACAGUCACUUUGUCAUUUUGACUCACAUUGCUCGUCCCAUUGUUUAGACUUGUUCCGUAUUUAUGCAAAGAUUUAUGGGAUAUUAGAAUCCUAUUGUCUUAACCUUUGUUAUUUUAAACCGAGCCCUUAACCAGGAAGUGGACGUGACGACACAGGAAAAACAAUCUCCUCCUUUCCAACGCGAUUGACCACGGUUCGACUCUAACCCAGUGCGCUCUCCUCGCCUUACGUUAGAUGGCGUGUCAGUUUGCCGAUAUAGAUGCAGACUUUUAAAUUACCAUUUUUAUUUUAGAUAAAAAACACUUUGUAAUUUUGUUUCCCUAUACCGCUUUAAUGAGCGGCCAGACUGGGGUCACUUGUUUGAAAAGUAGGAAAUGGAAACAGAAAACCUAUAUGUAUUACACUGUUUUUUUUACCAUCCAUGUCUGGCCCAUAAGUUAACAGCAGGCCUGAAAUCAGUAUCACUAAGUACAGAGCUUAGACUGGUAACACUUAAGGGCUGGUCUCAAAUCAGCUCUUCUCAAAAUAGGUCUGUGGGAGAUUAUCUAGUGGCUCAUGUUCCUUUGACAAACACUGAGUUGCCCUGUGGGCUAUGAAGGCUUAUUCCUGCCAACAUGUUUGGCAUUAAUCUGCUUCCAUAGAUUGAGACCCUUUUGGGACACACUUGGUCAUUCUUAUUUUCAUGCAUUCUCAGUCCUGAUAGGCUGUGAUGCACCGCUCAAAGGUAGAGAGGGACCACAUUUUGAUCAAUCAAUAUUAGCUACCGAUCAUCGAUCAAAACAAUAACCAAUGGCUGAUGUAGUUGCCAAUUGGGAGUUGGGGACAGUUUGUUACUCACAGGUGGCACCUUAAUUGGGGAGGACGGGGCUCGUGGUAAUGAAUGGAGCGAAAUCAGCGGAAUGGUAUCAAACAGACAUGGUUUCCAUGGUGUUUGAUGCCGUUCCAUUCGCUCCGUUCCAGACAUUAUUAUGAGCCGUCCUCCACUCAGCAGCCUCCUGUGUUGUUACCAUGCCGACGUGUGAUAGCAGACAGCCAACCCCCUCUCAGGUGUUCUGCGGGAACGGAACAGAAUGUGACAAAGGGUUUAUUUUCUGAACGUUAAUAUUAGAUCAAGCUGCUUGUUGUGACUGCACCGCUGUCUCUCUCUCUCUCUCUCUGUAGAGACACUGUUCUUCUCAGGGUGGAUGGGUGUAACGGUAUUGUCUCCCCACAGGGUGGCGCUGUUGCUUCAGUCCAGAAAGCCAGACUGAAUCACGCUACGUUUUUAGAAUGGUUUCACUGCUGUAAUAAAGGGAGCUGAAUUCAGGAUGGAUUUCCAGGCUAGCACUGCUGCUGCUCCCGAGGAUGAAACGGUUCCAGUCCUCACUUCGUCCACUAGGUUGCGCUAGCUGUCUCUACUGAGGGUGCAGACAGAGCUUUGUCCACUAGGUAUUGCUAGCUGUCUACUGCUCGAUGUCGUCUUUAUACUGCUUCACUGUUUAACCCGUUUGAUAAAUCAGUCCCUCCUCCAAGCCUGAGCUUCAGCUAAGACUAAAGCUCUUCUGACUUGCAUAAUAAUUGUACCGUAAAGUUUUAAGUUGAAAUGUUUUUGUGGAAAAAAAAGAUUUAAAAAAUGUGUCUGCAUUUAAAAACAAAUGAAAUUACGGGAAUUAAAAUUACAAAGCAUACCAAACA